rnacentral:tRNA from 1 species
GGAUGGUCUCUGGUCGAGGUUGCAGUCUUCAAA